UACGUAGGGUGCGAGCGUUAAUCGGAAUUACUGGGCGUAAAGCGUGCGCAGGCGGCCCGUUAAGACAGGUGUGAAAUCCCUGGGCUCAACCUAGGAAUUGCGCUUGUGACUGGCGGGCUCGAGUACGGUAGAGGGAGACGGAACUGCUGGUGUAGGGGUGAAAUGCGUAGAGAUCAGGAGGAACACCGAUGGCGAAGGCAGCCCCCUGGGCCUGUACUGACGCUCAUGCACGAAAGCGUGGGGAGCAAACAGG
rnacentral:rRNA from 1 species